rnacentral:misc_RNA from 1 species
AAAGUCGUAACAAGGUCUCCGUAGGUGAACCUGCGGAGGGAUCAUUAACACUAUUUGGCUAGCGUUGUUUAGUAUCUCUUGCUUGCAAGAGAGAAAACAUGAUGUUAGUUCAAAUUUUCACACACCCGUUGAACUCGGUUACCGAAAGGUAACUAAUCAGCUAUCUCAAGUAUUAGGUUGCAACAGUGACGCAGUGAGCACUGCAUUCAUAUUUCGGUAUGAGUCAGGGCGACUUUCCAACUAUGACUUGAGAUAAUUUUUGGGGAUGUCACACUCAGACGUCUCGACCCCCCUUUGCCUUUUUUUCACUAACCCUGAAUAAGCCAUUAGACUGAUGUAAAGAAGUAAAUCGAAAGGUUUAUCUUCUCAAGAUAACUAAACUAAGCACAACUCUUAGCAACGGAUAUCUUGGUUCUC